GAGAUUUUUGUGGACACCUGCGGCCUUAUUGACUCUGCUCGACCAAUGGGAGGAAAACAUAGAUGGUUUCCGGGGAGUUCGCAAGAACUCUCAUAUUUAUAAGGAAAUAGCGGAUGCCUUAAAAGAGUUUGGACCUUCUCAUGUUGAGGUGAAAAACAAAAUAGAAAAUUUGACGAGGAAAUACAGAAGUGAACUGUCCAAGGUGGGACCUUCGGGUGGCAGCCCAUCAACAUGGGAGCACUUUGAAAGGGUCUGCUUAAUCCUGCAAACGUCGAAAUCAAUUGUUGUUAGCGGAGUUGAGAGCACAGACUUCUCAUGUGUAACCGAGGAUGUUACUAGUGAUUUCUAUGCUGACCAGAGCAACACCUCAGCGACCAAAAAUUCAGGUGGA